rnacentral:rRNA from 1 species
CCUACGGGAGGCAGCAGUGGGGAAUAUUGCGCAAUGGGCGAAAGACUGACGCAGCGAAGCAGCGUGAAGGAUGACGGUCUUCUGAUCGGAAACCUCUGUCAACGGGGGAGAAAGGUCACUGUGCUGAUCAGCAGUGAAUUUACGGUACCUGCAAAGGAAGCACCGGCUAACUCCGUGCCAGCAGCCGCGGUAGUACGGAGGGUGCGAGCGUUAAUCGGAUUUAUUGGGCGUAAGGGGAGCGUAGGCGGUAUGUCAAGUCAAGAGUGAAAUCCCCGGGCUCAACGUUGGCACUGCCGUUGAAACUGGCAAACUUGAGUGCGUGAGAGGAGUGUGGAAUUCCAGGUGUAGGAGUGAAAUCCGUAGAUAUCUGGAGGAACAUCAGUUGCGAAGGCGACUAUCUGCAACACUACUGACGCUGAGGAGCGAAAGCGCGGGUAGCAAACAGGAUUAGAUACCCCUGUAGUC